AUUGAACGCUGGCGGCAGGCCUAACACAUGCAAGUCGAACGGUAGCACAGAGGAGCUUGCUCCUUGGGUGACGAGUGGCGGACGGGUGAGUAAUGUCUGGGAAACUGCCCGAUGGAGGGGGAUAACUACUGGAAACGGUAGCUAAUACCGCGUAAUGUCGCGAGACCAAAGUGGGGGGACCUUCGGGCCUCAUACCGGGAUCGGAUGUGCCCAGAUGGGAUUAGCUGGUAGGUG
rnacentral:rRNA from 1 species